rnacentral:tRNA from 1 species
GUUAUUUUGGCAGAAUAGUGCGUUAGAUUUAGAAUCUAUUUAAGUAAAUUAGAGUUUACAUAUAAUAU